rnacentral:rRNA from 1 species
CAGUCGCCACGGUAAUACAGAGGGUGCGAGCGUUAAUCGGAUUUACUGGGCGUAAAGCGUGCGUAGGCGGCUUUUUAAGUCGGAUGUGAAAUCCCUGAGCUUAACUUAGGAAUUGCAUUCGAUACUGGGAAGCUAGAGUAUGGGAGAGGAUGGUAGAAUUCCAGGUGUAGCGGUGAAAUGCGUAGAGAUCUGGAGGAAUACCGAUGGCGAAGGCAGCCAUCUGGCCUAAUACUGACGCUGAGGUACGAAAGCAUGGGGAGCAAACAGGAUUAGAUACCCCAGUAGUCCCUGUCUCUUAUAA